rnacentral:lncRNA from 1 species
ACUGGCUGUGGUAUAUUAAUGGAAUGCUCAUCCAGAGGUCACAGCAGACUGAGUUCUCUUGUAGCAUGCUGGUAUAGCCUUAGUGGGGAGCUAGAGCUUAGCUUGUGUACAGGUAGAGACAUGGUGUGAUUUGACAUGCAUUCAUCUCCUCCAAGAUAGAUCUUUACUGAGCAUGACUUUGUCCUCUUUUCCACUUAGGUCUGGGUUUUUUUUUUUUUUUUUUUCAUAGAAUAAAUUCAGAAAAUGCACAGGUGCUAUGCUUUGUUUUUGUUUUUUAAUUUAUGUGCGUGCCAUGUGUGUAGGUGCUGGUAGAGACUCAAAGAGGUCAUUAAGUCGUCUAAAGGUCGAGUUGCAGGUGUUUGAUAUUCCCUUGUAAGUUUUUAUGUACUGGGAUCAUCCCCACUUCCUUAGGAAUUUGGUCGGAAUAUGGUAGGUCCGUAAUUUUUUGUUUUGUUAGAAUUGUAGGUUAAUCUAGUUAUUCCCUAUGGUGGGGCCAAGGCCCUGCCAUCAUGGCCCACCUGAGUGUAGUCCACCCAGCUGUUUGUAUUAUGUCUUGUGGUAUAUUGUUUACUUUUCUCAUUGGCUUGGUGAAAUACCUUGACAAGAGCAACUUAAGGGGAGGUUGUUUGAGGUUUCAGUCUGUUAUGGCUGGGAAGUCACAGAAGCAGGAAUGUGAGGUGGCUGGGUAACACUUGUACAGCUAGCUUUUUUAGAUACAGCCCAGGAUUCAAGCCCAGGGAAUAGCCCUCCUUUAGGGCUAUUAAUAUAGUAUUAUAAUACAAUAUAAUAUAUAUUAAUAUAUUAACAUGCAUUAAUUAAAGUUAAUCUAAUCCUAGUAAUCCCUCACAGAUGUGCUUGGAGGCUUGUCUCAGCUUAUUCCAGAUACUAUCAAAUUGACAAUCAGUAUUAACUAUUACAAGUGGAAUUAAAUAGUCACAUGCUUAAUAUGGAAGAGGCGUUUUAUUCAAAGUGUACUGAGUUUAAUGUUAAUAUCAUUUU